AUUGAACGCUGGCGGCAGGCCUAACACAUGCAAGUCGAACGAGUGGCGGACGGGUGAGUAAUGUCUGGGAAACUGCCUGAUGGAGGGGGAUAACUACUGGAAACGGUAGCUAAUACCGCAUACCAUCGGAUGUGCCCAAGUGGGAUUAGUUAGUGGGUGGGGUAAAGGCUCACCUAGGCGCCGAUCCCUAGCUGGUCUGAGAGGAUGACCAGCCACACUGGGACUGAGACACGGUCCAGACUCCUACGGGAGGCAGCAGUGGGGAAUAUUGCGCAAUGGGCGCAAGCCUGAUGCAGCCAUGCCGCGGGAAUGAAGAAGGCCUUCGGGUUGUAAAGUUCUUUCGGCGGGGAGGCGGUAAUCACAGAAGAAGCACCGGCUAACUCCGUGCCAGCAGCCGCGGUAAUAC
rnacentral:rRNA from 1 species